UACGUAGGGAGCAAGCGUUGUUCGGAUUUACUGGGCGUAAAGGGUGCGUAGGCGGCAUGAUAAGUCAGCUGUGAAAUCUCCGAGCUUAACUCGGAACGGUCAGCUGAUACUGUUGUGCUAGAGUGCAGAAAGGGCAAUCGGAAUUCUUGGUGUAGCGGUGAAAUGCGUAGAUAUCAAGAGGAACACCUGAGGCGAAGGCGGGUUGCUAGGCUGACACUGACGCUGAGGCACGAAAGCUAGGGGAGCAAACAGG
rnacentral:rRNA from 1 species